rnacentral:lncRNA from 1 species
AUGAACCAGAAAAUUUUGGUGAAUGUGCAUACCUGCCCAUGCUCUCAUUUCCUACAAUACAGUGAUCCCAAUCCCAUUUCCUUGGUUUUCAGACAUUUUCACAGUUGUGUGUUCAGGCCAGCAAGUCCAGGAAGAGCAAUACAUCUUAAGUUUCACAAGGAGUUUGUAAGAAUUUCAAGACAUGCAAGAAUAAGAAAAUGGUCGCUGCUCAUUAAUCCUUGUGGAGAAGGCCCUUCCUUAGCUCCAUCUUACAGAUGAAACAUGAAGCCUCAGAGAAGUUCAACAACUUUUUCCAAAGCAGACAUCUAGAAAGCUGUAGAACCAGGAUUCAAACUCCAGUCUCUUUGACCCUAGAGCCCGUGCGAAUACAACAAGUUUUAUUCCACCAUGCAAAGCCAGACGGAACCAAGACAGGUGGCCUGAGUCUCAAGAGCCAGAAGCAUCAUCAAAGAAAAGCUGCGUGAACAAGUGAAACCAAUCCCGCAAGGCGGCCGGGUAGCACAUCCUCUAGAAGCAAAAACAACUCUACCCCUUGUCUGCCCCAUUCUUCACCAAGAGAUGACCUACCUGAUGCGGGAAACAAAGUCAGAAGAAAAAUUAUUAAAUCUCCUUACUUCCUACAGCCAUUUGACACGUCCUUGAAACAGGCAGAGUGACAUUCCUCUAGGGACUCAACUGUCUCGAUGUUAAUACUUGUUAAGGGCAAAAGGCAAUCUUAGCCCAAACCCAGGAUCCUGUAAGUCUACUUUCACAUAUAAAAAUUCUUUUGGAAACUUCCUUUAUCUCUACACCUCCCCAGAUACAUGUUGGCAAUCAUCCCCCAAGCAUAUGGCCCACCGAUAUACAUCUAAGAGUCUUGUGACUGAGGUUUUAUUAGACGGUAAUAAAUGACCAUUUCCCAACAGUAGCUGGCCCCCUCAAGGUCCUGGACACCUUGCUUCCAAAUUCCUUAGGGACUUACACUAUCCCUAACCACCCCCACCUAGGAAGUAUAUAAUGGGCCACUCUUCAUGUCUCUGGUGCAGCUCUUUCUGCCCACGGGUCCUGUCCCCUUGCUUUAAUAAAACCACCAUUUUGCACCAAAGAUUCUCAAGAAUUCUUUCUGGGCCAUCUGGCUUCGAACCC